rnacentral:misc_RNA from 1 species
GAUGAAGAACGUAGCGAAAUGCGAUACGUAGUGUGAAUUGCAGAAUUCAGUGAAUCAUCGAAUCUUUGAACGCACAUUGCACCUCUCGGUAUUCCGGGAGGUAUGCCUGUUCGAGCGUCAUUUGUACCCUCAAGCUCUGCUUGGUGUUGGGUGUUUGUUCCGCCUCUGUGUGUGAACUCGCCUCAAAACAAUUGGCAGCCGGCGUACUUGUUUCGGAGCGCAGCACAUUUUGCGAUCCAGAUCAACGUACAGCGGCAUCCAAGAAGCCUUAUUUAACGCUCUUGACCUCGGAUCAGGUAGGGAUACCCGCUGAACUUAAGCAUAUCAAUAAGCGGAGAA